rnacentral:rRNA from 1 species
GAUGAACGCUGGCGGCGUGCCUAAUACAUGCAAGUCGAGCGAACAGAUGAGGAGCUUGCUCCUCUGACGUUAGCGGCGGACGGGUGAGUAACACGUGGAUAACCUACCUAUAAGACUGGGAUAACUUCGGGAAACCGGAGCUAAUACCGGAUAAUAUAUUGAACCGCAUGGUUCAAUAGUGAAAGACGGUUUUGCUGUCACUUAUAGAUGGAUCCGCGCCGCAUUAGCUAGUUGGUAAGGUAACGGCUUACCAAGGCAACGAUGCGUAGCCGACCUGAGGGGGUGAUUGGCCACCAUGGGAAUGAGGACCGGGCCCAACUCCUAAGGGAGGCCACAAUUGGGAAACUUUCGGAAAGGGGGGAAGGCCUGACGAGGCAAGGCGCGUGAGUGAAGGAGGGUCUCCGAUUCUAAAACCCUGGUAAUAGGGAAAAAACAAAGUGGAAGGAAACAUGGAAGUUUUGAAGGUUACCAAAUCAAAAAGCCACGGCUAACUACGG